rnacentral:lncRNA from 1 species
GCGGGUGCGCGCCGAGCGGGUGUUCCCGCCUUUGUCCUUUGCUCUGGUAGACUUUCUGUUUUGGGGUGGUUUUCGGUAAACGUCCCUGUGGGAAGUUAGUGGAUCCAUGACCUUGGGCCCAUUUUCCUUUCUCUCGGAUCUUUGAGUCUCUUUUAUCUUCCUUGUACUUUCAGGGUUGUCUCUACAGUGUCGAUACUAGUUGUCCCUCAGUGCUGCCAGAGCUUUCCAAAGCCUGUUCCUCUGCUCAAUUGUCUGUUGUCCCCUCAAGUCUCUUGACUGAGAGUCCUGACCUGCUACACCACCCUUUACUGCAGCGUGGCUCAGUUCCAGGUCAAACACGGUUGUGUACACUCCAAGAAUCAUGUGUGAAAACCAUUGGGAAGCUAGAAGGAGAAAAAGACUGCAUAGCAGCUACAUUUGAACAAGGGUCUAAGAUACUGGCACCCAACACUUGUCAUACCACUGGCCAACCUUGUUGCAAGGGAGACAAGCAAGGACACUGGUUAUAGCCCACUCUGUGCACACCUAAAGGCUUCAGAUUUUAACAGAAUGGGUGUUUGGGGAAACGAAGGCUCUGUCUAAGCGUUCGAGCUCUAACUUGGCUUAUCUGGUGUGAGUCCUGCUGUUUGCCUUCCCUUUCUGAGUAGAUACAAAGACCAAGCCUCAUACCCAAGAUACAAUGCAGUUCCUUUCACUGUUCUUCUUGGACUGUUUCCCUCCUUUGCUCCUGCCAUCUUGUAAUUGAAACAGGGCCUCCCUUACUAUGGUUGCUUGCUCUAACCCCCAAUGUUGUGACUCCCCUAAAUCCUACCUUUUAUUCC